rnacentral:lncRNA from 1 species
UUUUGCAAUGCAAAAUCCAAAUAAUUUUGAUUUACCAGAAGAAUUGCCAUGGAAUAUGGAUGCUACAAAUUUUGCAUGGCAACCAAUAGUGCAAAUGCAAGAAUUUGGAUCAUUUUCACACGAAGAUCAACUGAAAAUUUCUACUAAUUUGGUCAACGAUAAUUGGAGCUCGACGUCGGUGGAUUUAUCGGGCUACGAGAUAUUUUAAAGACCUUAAAUUAUAGCCCUAUUCAAAGGGUUCAAAGUUCACUACUUUUUUCUUUUUCUUUUUUUUUAACAUUUUCAAGAAAGAUAUUUAUAUACAUACAUAUUAUAAACACGGAAGUGGUUACUAUGAAGUUUAUUUUGAAGUAAGUUGGUCAAUUGAUCAAUAGAAUACUGACACGCAGGCGGGGUUGUAUGUGUGUCAAUAUUCUAUUGACCAAUUGACCAACUUAACAAAAAAAUAACUUCAUGCUAACCGGAUCCCAUAAACACAUGUGAUGGACACUACUAUACUCAUUUAACUGAGGUUACAAUAAAAUCAGAUAUUGUUGAGGAGUUAAUUAUAUUUCUCACUUACCAAUUACUAGCUACCUGUAUGUACUGCUUCCAUGACACAAAAAGAAUCGCAUUUACAAUAUUUGUAAAUAUUAAAAAAUUAUUUUUAUUUCAUGUAUACAGUUAAAAAAUAUAAGUUUCUAGUCUAGUGAUAUAAUAUGACAUA